UGGGGAAUAUUGCACAAUGGGCGCAAGCCUGAUGCAGCCAUGCCGCGUGUAUGAAGAAGGCCUUCGGGUUGUAAAGUACUUUCAGCGGGGAGGAAGGCGAUAAGGUUAAUAACCUUGUCGAUUGACGUUACCCGCAGAAGAAGCACCGGCUAACUCCGUGCCAGCAGCCGCGGUAAUACGGAGGGUGCAAGCGUUAAUCGGAAUUACUGGGCGUAAAGCGCACGCAGGCGGUCUGUCAAGUCGGAUGUGAAAUCCCCGGGCUCAACCUGGGAACUGCAUUCGAAACUGGCAGGCUAGAGUCUUGUAGAGGGGGGUAGAAUUCCAGGUGUAGCGGUGAAAUGUGUAGAGAUCUGGAGGAAUACCGGUGGCGAAGGCGGCCCCCUGGACAAAGACUGACGCUCAGGUGCGAAAGCGUGGGGAGCAAACA
rnacentral:rRNA from 1 species